AUGCGAAAAGUAAUGCGAUUUGCAUGAAUCUGUGAGUCAUCAAGUUUUUGAACGCACCUUGCACCAUAUGAGUAAUUGUAUGGUAUACCUGUUUGAGAAUCGUAAAAAACCCAUCCUUUUUACAUCACCCUUUCACAAGGGGGCUGCAAAAUAGGGACUUGUCGGAUGUCGAAUGGACUCCGAUUAAAUGCAGUAGGUUUGGAUCAGGCUGGUGGCCUGGGACAUUGUGUGCUAGAGACUAACCGUCUUCUCACAGUGCGUCCCGGGUCAAUUAAAAGCUGGCCUGUGGUAGAGCCUUCAACAGCGCAUCGGAGCAAUCCGGUGGCUACACUUUCUCUUUGAUCUCAAAUCAGGUAAGGCUACCCGCUGAACUUAA
rnacentral:misc_RNA from 1 species